GUCUCCAUCAUCUAGUGGUUCAGGAUAUCUCUCUUUCAAGGAGACAACGGAGAUUCGACUUCUCCUAAGAUA
rnacentral:tRNA from 1 species